UCCCAGGCCCUUUUCAGGGCCACCCUCAUUUUCACAGAAGAGCUA
rfam:Lingula anatina scaffold1052, whole genome shotgun sequence.